CAUUCUGUAGCAAUACAGGGUGUGGGCGCGUGGCGAACGGGUGCGUAACACGUGGAUAACCUUCCUUGAGGUGGGGAAUAACCCAGUGAAAAUUGGGCUAAUACCGCAUAACAUCGCGAUGGCACAUGCUGAUGCGAUCAAAGGCGCAAGUCGCCACAAGAGGGAUCCGCGGCCGAUUAGCUUGUUGGCGAGGUAAUGGCUCACCAAGGCAAUGAUCGGUAGCCGGACUGAGAGGUUGGCCGGCCACACUGGAACUGAGACACGGUCCAGACUCCUACGGGAGGCAGCAGUGGGGAAUCUUGCACAAUGGACGAAAGUCUGAUGCAGCAACGCCGCGUGGGGGAUGAAGCUUCUCGGAGUGUAAACCCCUUUCGACCCGGAAGAAUGCCCGCAAGGGUAUGACGGUACGGGUAUAAGAAGCCCCGGCUAACUACGUGCCAGCAGCCGCGGUAAUACGUAGGGGGCCAGCGUUGCUCGGAAUUACUGGGCGUAAAGGGUCCGUAGGCGGUGUAGCAAGUCGAUAGUGAAAUCUCUGGGCUUAACCCAGAGGCUGCUAACGAAACUGCUGUGCUAGAGUGUGAGAGAGGCGAGUGGAAUUACGGGUGUAGCGGUGAAAUGCGUAGAUAUCCGUAGGAACAUCCGAGGCGAAGGCGGCUCGCUGGAUCACAACUGACGCUGAGGGACGAAAGCUAGGGGAGCAAACAGGAUUAGAUACCCUGGUAGUCCUAGCCCUAAACCAUCAGGACUUGGGGUUUGCCCUGUACGGGGCAAGUCCCGUAGCUAACGCGUUAAGUCCUGCGCCUGGGGAGUACGGUCGCAAGGCUG
rnacentral:rRNA from 1 species